UAAUUCCUAUCCAAAUUUAUCAUAGGAUUCUAAUUAGAAUUUUAGGGUGGACAGCGUCGUUUUUUUUAUAUUCAUCGAAAGGGAUAGUGCUUGAUGGUUUCCGGAAAAUUAAUUGUUCCGUUCCGGUAAUUGUAGGAGGAACACAGCCCGGAAACGUUCUUGACAUGAGCAAAGAAGUCUACGGAGUCAUUUAACCUGAAAGUAUAGGAAGAUCGGCCUAGAGGUGCACCUGUCCUGGAUCAGUCGUGCUGCCCAUGGAAUCAUCAGAUAUAAGUUGAGUUGGCGUCACAGUGAUUACAGCUGGUCCUGUUAUUUUAUUCUUUUGUAAAGUCUCUUUGAGUAAGCUUGAAUGAUUUUCUCUCUGGCACCAAACUUUGUUGGCCAUUUAAUGUCACUUUU